rnacentral:lncRNA from 1 species
CCUGUUUGAAGGACAUGUGCCCUGCGUUGCAACGGAAAAAUAAAUGACGUAGAUGUGCUAGCCCGAAUACCCGUACGAGUGCUUCUCUACAUGAAAACGCCUACCAGCACGAAUUUCUUUUGCAUCUGAAUAUCACUCAUUGCAGCCCACAAUAUCCCAAAUCCAUCCUUCCUGCCGCCCUAUACACAAUCCUUCCUAGUCAAGUUAACUCUUUUAGCCCACACGUCCCACUUUGCAUCGUGCAACGCGUCCCAAAUACAUCUUUCCUUUCAUCCACUUGUUAAUAUUACAACCAACUUGCUAACAUAUAUAAACUGGUGGGAACAAAUUUAUAGGAGCGAAGUGGGAUUAGUUCACAUGAAAUAUCAAUGCACGGUUGGGUUGUUACGACCUAUUGAACUGGUGAUUAUGUUUUCUCAUGUGGCCCGCUUGCCCAAAUAAGUCCUGGCAAUAGUUAGUUGAUGCUCAAUAGGCCCAGCGUUUUGAGUAAAACCAGGCUCAUCGAUCAUGCCAUGCAACUAACCUUUAAUACUCCUUAAAUUAGAAAUGUAUCUAAUAGAUUCACAAACAUGUGCCAGCUCACUUGGUUCCCACCUGGUAAGUCCAAAGCAAGAGGUUAGAACUUUACUAUUCCCUCCAGCAUAUAUAAUUUUCACCAAUGAUUUUUGGACACGCGACCAGAGGCCAAGAGCCUGGUGAAAGAUCACUUCUUUUUUUGCCGUGGCUUGAUUGUAUUGAAUGCCAGAGAGUUUUCUGCGAAAUAGACUGGCGGAUGAAGAAUACCUAUUUUCUUUAUUAGUAGGUAUAGACAUGUUUUUCUCUGAUGAUUUUUGAACACACAACCAGAGGCUGAGAGCCUGGCGAAAAAUCACUUAUUUUUCCCCGCAGCUUGAUUGUACUAAAAGCCAAGGAGUUUUCUGCAAAAUAAUAUGACGGACCACCAAUAUCUAUUUAUUUUUAUUAAUGGGUAUAGAUUUUAGGUUAAAAUUCCUUGAUGUAUAGAUAUAUUAUAUAAACGCUAGCACAUACACAAAUUCACACAGCAUGCUGGCACAUGCAUCAUAAUCAUCUACAUCGUCAUCUUGCUCGGGCACAAGAGUAAUGUCAGCAAGGCAUACGAUUGUGAUGGGAUGCCGGUGCGGAUGACUGGUUCAUACCUUGUGCGGUGUAGUUUCUGGGGUCUUUUGGCCUACAUUUGCAAGGGGUGGCGACAUUGCACAUCACACUACUGGUUCUAACAAUCUAAGACAACUUAUUCUCUCACCUUAAUGUGACAUUCAACAUCUUCUUCGAGUAAAUUCCAAAACUUUCUAAAUUUUUGAAUGGGGAAAAUGCCUGAGUGAGUAAAGUACGUGCCAACUUUAAGAACAUUUGGAUGUCUGGGUAGCUCUCAACAAAAAAGAUAAAUUUCGGGCGUGUAAAAAAGUUGAUUUGCCUGAGUGAGUAACAUAUGUGCUGAUUUUUUUAUACUUUUUCAGAGCUACUCAGAUGUCUAUUUCUCAAAAAAUAAUUGGCACGCAUCUCAU